GACGAACGCUGGCGGCGUGCCUAAUACAUGCAAGUCGAGCGGAACCAUUGUAGCUUGCUCCUUUGGUUUAGCGGCGGACGGGUGAGUAACACGUGUGCAACCUGCCCUUCAGAUCGGGAUAACUCCGGGAAACCGGUUCUAAUACCGAAUAGUUUGCGGCCUCUCAUGAGGCUGCACGGAAAGACGGUUUCGGCUUUCACUGCCGGAUUGGCCCGCGGGGCAUUAGCUAGUUGGUUAGGUAACGGCUCACCAAGGCCACGAUGCGUAGCCGACCUGAGAGGGGGAUAGGCAAAACUGGGACUGAGAAACGGCCAAGAAACCAACGGGAGGAAGCAGUAGGGAAUCUGCCGAAAUGGACGAAAGACUGACGGAGAAACGCAGCGUGAGUGAAGAAGGUUUUCGGAUCGUAAAACGCUGUUGUGAGGGAAGAAAAAGUAACAAGUAACUACUGGUACAUUGACGGUACCUAACAAGAAAGCCACGGCUAACUACGUG
rnacentral:rRNA from 1 species